UCAAACCUUGGAGGGACUUAUUCCUGGUCAGGAGAACCAUAUACUGCAGCAUGGGUCGCAAAGAAAGCGGGUCUCACAUCAACAUCUCAUAGAAAUACAAUCAGGAGCAUCGACUGGCUUGAUUCUUGCCUGCAGGUUAAGUAUCAAAACACUCUUUCAUUUGGCAAACAUAGAAAUAACAACUUCAUGGUAAGCAACAUAAUAAUAAUGAUGGCCAUAUGUGAUGCAGGAUACAGAAAUAAUCACAUGGAGCAGUAGAUCCGCACGAGCAAUUAUUAAAAUAGGAAUACCGUUUAUCAGCGCUUUAGCCAAAGGAAUGCAGAGCAAGAUCAAGGGAAUCUCACAUGAUUGCCUUGUAUGCACUGCAUGGCUUGGAAGUGAGCUGGCUGCCCUUGGUGAAAAUGCCAUCAGAUAUUCUGCUUGUGAGAUUUUGUUACAUGACAUAGCAAGUCACCUGCAUCCAGGGUUUGAUCUUGACGAAAGGGUUCUAGCAUGCAUGUGUCUAUACAAUUACACCUCUGGAAAAGGUAAAUAGUACAUCAUUACUAUCUUAUAUCCAGUAAACUUUCAAGAGCUAUUUUGCACAUCCUAAAGAGUAAAGACUCUUGGAAUGUAAACAUCCGAGCCAAAGUUGAAGGAAUGAUUGAAACGCUAUAUUUAUGCAAAGUUAUCAUUUUCUAACAACAGGAAAGCAAAUGUUGAUGAGCUUGUCAGAAGGGUCCCGAGAAUCUCUUAGGAGGCUUUCAUCAUUCACAUGGAUGGCUGAGGAAUUACUUCAAGUUACAGAUUAUUUUCUUUCCAGCAAACCAGUGAGUAUUGUUGGAACUUUUCUCCUUAUCUUCCCGCCUUUGUUUCAUACUACCCCUGUUCCAAGCAGGCCUUCAAGUAGAUCUUCUUCUAUUAGGAGCUAAUAUCAUAUCUGUUCAACAUGGAUCUCAGAAAUUCUUUAGGCUUGCCAUUGUUAACUUCAAAAUCUAUGCUGAGAUCAUUUUUACAACAUUGCUAGCUAGCCCGUCAUGUAACAUGUUUCUUAAACACAAGAUUUAAUUUUCUGAUCUUGUCAGUGCAGCGUGUAUCAUGUGUACAUACACAAAUCCUGGAAAUUGGUCAGCCUAGCAAUGGUGCAGCAACUGCUAUAGCAGUCUUCAGAGGACAGCUUUUUGCUGGUUAUUCUAAUGGCACCAUCAGGGUAAUGAUUUAUUCCAUAUGUCAGAAUUCAGAUCAUAACCAUAGUUUCAAAUUACCAUAAAUCUACGAAAUUAGCACAUAAUUUGUUGCGUUACAGAAGUUACUUGGAAAGGGACUUUUCAAAAAUGAUAGAAACUCUGUACUAUCACACACCAAGUUCACUGCUUCAGUUCAUGCAGUAGUAUUUACAUAACUAAAAUUUCCCAAUACUUGGGUGUUAUGUGCAGGCAUGGGACAUAAAAGGCCAAAGGGCAGUAAUUAUCAGGGAGGUAAAAGAGCACAAGAAGGCAGUGACUUGUUUUACACUAUCGGAAACUGGGGAGAACCUUCUGAGUGGAUCAGCAGACAAAUCCAUUCGGGUAACCAAAACAACCAGAUUGCUAAAACUGCAAAAGGAUAUCUAUUGCUGGAUGUUAAAUUACAAGGUCAUUUGCAGGUAUGGGAAAUGGCACAGCGCAAGCUUGAGUGUGUCGAGGUGAUUCAGACAAGAGAGGCUGUACAAAAGCUUGAUAUUUGUGGUGACAAAAUCCUUGUACUGACGCAGAACAAUGUUCUCAAGGUACUCAUUGACUUACUAUGCACUAGAAGAUAACAAAUAGCAUGCAUAACAAUAAUGAUGUUUUUUACUUUCAUUCUUCUUGUUGUCACAGUUCUCUUGUGCAUCAAGAAGCAGCCAAACAUUGUACAGGGGCAAGCAUGUCAAAUCUCUAGCUGUAUGUCAGGGCAAAGCUUACCUUGGUUGCACAGACUUGAGUAUACAGGUUAGUUUUGUGGUUACAAAAGCAUGUAAUAGUAUUUUGGAUCACUAUAUGUAAAGAAAAAGAUUGUCAACAGGAACUAGACAUGUCAGUUGAAUCCAAGAUUGAGAUAAGGGCACCUAAAAGAAGAUGGAGGAUUAGGAAACAAUCCAUUAGCGCCAUUGUUGUAUAUAAAGAUUUGUUGUAUUGUGCUGGUGCUCAAGUGGAAGGUUCAGCCUUAAAGGUAUUAAUCAAAAUAUUGAACUUGACCUCUGAAAGUUAUGAGAUGAAAAGAAAUGUGAAACUUUAAACUUUUUGCAGGACUGGAAGAAACGAUGCAAACCUAAUAUGACAAUGCCACUACCAAAGGGAACAAGUGUAGAGGCAAUGGCAGUGGUGGAAGACUUCAUCUACUUGAACUGCAGUAAAAGCCCUAGCAUCAUUCAGGUGACAUGAAUUUCCUUUUUUUUUCUAUAUCAGCUACAAUAAGUUAUGUAAAAAAAGGCAAAAAAAAUUCAGGUACUUGAGCACAAUGUACUGUUAGGAGAUCUCUAUCUGCUUACAAAUUUCAGGCUUUACUCUCUGAAAAUUGUUGGGCAGUCCAUCGUGAUCCUGUUCUAGGUACGAAAUGGAAGUAACAUUAGGUGAUUAGGUCUCACCAACAAGAACCAGAGGAACCAAAAAAUCCAUGUUCAGUGAAGACCGGCCUACCAUUUUAUAUCUGAUCAAAGUAUAGAAGCCAUACCUGUAAUACCUUGGAUAAAAAAAUACAGGAUUCGCCAGUCUUGAUU
rnacentral:lncRNA from 1 species